GAUCAUGGCUCAGAUUGAACGCUGGCGGCAGGCCUAACACAUGCAAGUCGAACGGUAACAGGAAGCAGCUUGCUGCUUGCUGACGAGUGGCGGACGGGUGAGUAAUGUCUGGGAAACUGCCCGAUGGAGGGGGAUAACUACUGGAAACGGUAGCUAAUACCGCAUAACGUCGCAAGACCAAAGAGGGGGACCUUCGGGCCUCUUGCCAUCGGAUGUGCCCAGAUGGGAUUAGCUUGUUGGUGAGGUAACGGCUCACCAAGGCGACGAUCCCUAGCUGGUCUGAGAGGAUGACCAGCCACACUGGAACUGAGACACGGUCCAGACUCCUACGGGAGGCAGCAGUGGGGAAUAUUGCACAAUGGGCGCAAGCCUGAUGCAGCCAAUGCCGCGUGUAUGAAGAAGGCCUUCGGGUUGUAAAGUACUUUCAGCGGGGAGGAAGGGGUUAAGGUUAAUAACCUUAGCCAUUGACGUUACCCGCAGAAGAAGCACCGGCUAACUCCGUGCCAGCCGCGGC
rnacentral:rRNA from 1 species